rnacentral:rRNA from 1 species
UUCGUAGGCGGUGUGGCAAGUCGGGAGUGAAAUCUCUGGGCUCAACCCAGAGGCUGCUUCCGAAACUGCUGUGCUUGAGUGUGAGAGAGGCGCGUGGAAUUGCAGGUGUAGCGGUGAAAUGCGUAGAUAUCUGCAGGAACACCCGUGGCGAAAGCGGCGCGCUGGAUCACUACUGACGCUGAGGAACGAAAGCUAGGGGAGCAAACAGGAUUAGAUACCCUGGUAGUCCUAGCCCUAAACGAUCAGGACUUGGGGUGCCGCCCGUUCGGGCGUCGUCCCGGAGCUAACGCGUUAAGUCCUGCACCUGGGGAGUACGGUCGCAAGACUGAA